GGCUUUUCUAGGGUACAUUUUUCAGCCACAGUAAAUAUGUUCUGUUUGUGGAAUGAGCAUUAUUAAUUCAAAACGUUGGCUUGUCCUUUUAUUAAUUCAGCAGAUAAUUAUUGGGUGGCUAUUACAUGCCAGUGACUGUGAUCAGCACUGGGCGGAGAGGUGAACAGGAUGAGAUCCCUGUCCUUGAGGGACUCCUGCUCUAGCGUGAGAAAAGAGGCUCCUCAACAAAUUAAACCCUGGGGCAAGAAAGAACAGCACUGGUAUGUGCGCCCCAAGAACACGGAAGAGGAAGGGACUCUCUUUGCCACAGAAGUCAGAAAAGGCUACAGAGAAGAAAGAACAUCAGGAAGUUCACUCUGGCAGCUUGAUGGCAGAUUUCAUGGAACAAUGGCAAAGGGACUGGUGAAGUUCAGAAGCCAAACCAUUCUUUCCAAAGAAGGUAGUUAGCAGGUACAUACUGAAGAUUUAUGGAUAUCUGGGACACGUUUUCAAAUAAUCCAAUGGAGCAACAAAGAAAAUAUGCUGGUAACUGGAGAUGCUGAAAGACGGCAACAUGAGAGUUCAUCAUACUGUUUUAAAAAUUUUCCACAAUAAAAUUAAAAUACAUUUUGUUAAAUAUAAGAAUUAACAGAAUGGCUCAGUGGAAUUUUAGAAAGUCCUAAUAACAUAAUACAACUGCUCUGAAAUCUGAUAUUUUUUUUAACUCAUAACUACUUUAUUGCAGUAUAAUUUGCAUCUAUAUAAUGUAUCCACUAUCUGUGUACAGUUCAUAGACUAAAUUUUUAGUAGAUUUA